CAGGAAGAACAGGUGUCCUGGAACGAACACACAGAGGACCCUGGAAAAAAGAUUAUUGCAGAAAUUGCAGAAGGCCCUUCCGGGUCCCUGAAAAUGCCGUCUUUAACGACAAGAAGAUCAACCCUCGUAGAAGCCCAAGCUUGGAAGAAGCCCCAUCGCAGCCAUGCUGCUUUGUGGCACUCAAUGGAGGCUGGCUGCGAACGACACAUCACAUGUAG
rnacentral:lncRNA from 1 species